GCGCAUCGUAGGCGGCUAUUCAAGUCAGUAGGGUGAAAGCCCGGGGGCUCUAACCCCUGGUAACUGCCUUUGAAACUAGAUAGCAUUGAAUCUCAGGAGAGGUGAGUGGAAUUCCGAGUGUAGAGGUGAAAUUCGUAGAUAUUCGGAAGUAACACCCAGUGGCGAAGGCGGCUCACUGGACUGGUAUUGACUGCUGUAGGUGCGAUAGAGCGUGGGGAGCAAACAGGAUUAGAUACCCCUGGUAGUCCACGCCGUAUAGACGAUGAUAACUAGCUGUCAGGGCACAUGGUGUUUUGUGUGGCGCAGCUAACGCACUUAAGUUAGUCCGUCCUGGGGUAUGUACCGGUCGCAAUGAUUUAGAACUCAAAGGAAU
rnacentral:rRNA from 1 species